rnacentral:rRNA from 1 species
CCUACGGGAGGCAGCAGUGAGGAAUAUUGGUCAAUGGACGAGAGUCUGAACCAGCCAAGUAGCGUGAAGGAUGACUGCCCUCUGGGUUGUAAACUUCUUUUAUAAAGGAAUAAAACGAGGCAAGUGUGCCUUUUUGCAUGUACUUUAUGAAUACGGAUCGGCUAACUCCGUGCCAGCAGCCGCGGUAAUACGGAGGAUCCGAGCGUUAUCCGGAAUUAUUGGGGUUAAAGGGAGCGUAGAUGGGUUGGUAAGUUAGUUGUGAAAGUUUGCGGCUCAACCGUAAAAUUGCAAUUGAUACUAGCAAUCUUGAGUACAGUAGAGGUAGGCGGAAUUCGAGGUGAAGCGGUGAAAUGCUUAGAUAUAACGAAGAACCCCGAUUGCGAAGGCAGCUUACUAAACUGUGACUGACAUUGAGGCUCGAAAGUGUGGGUAUCAAACUGGAUUAGAUACCCUGGUAGUC